CCUACGGGAGGCAGCAGUAGGGAAUAUUGCUCAAUGGGGGAAACCCUGAAGCAGCAACGCCGCGUGGAGGAUGAAGGUUUUAGGAUUGUAAACUCGUUUUGUUAGAGAAGAUAAUGACGGUAUCUAACGAAUAAGCACCGGCUAACUCCGUGCCAGCAGCCGCGGGAAUACGGAGGGUGCAAGCGUUACUCGGAAUCACUGGGCGUAAAGAGCGCGUAGGCGGGAUAGCAAGUCAGAUGUGAAAUCCUAUGGCUUAACCAUAGAACUGCAUUUGAAACUGUUAUUCUAGAGUAUGGGAGAGGUAGGUGGAAUUCUUGGUGUAGGGGUAAAAUCCGUAGAGAUCAAGAGGAAUACUCAUUGCGAAGGCGACCUGCUAGAACAUAACUGACGCUGAUGCGCGAAAGCGUGGGGAGCAAACAGGAUUAGAUACCCCAGUAGUC
rnacentral:rRNA from 1 species